GGGCAGGGAGUGAUUUUCCUUCAGCCUGGGAGAGCUGUUUGUCCACAAAGCCAGCCACCUUCCUUCAGACUCUCUGAGUUUUUAUGACUCAGCCCCAAGCCAGCACCAACUUGCUUAUUUUCUUCCGCUGUCUGGCUCGUGGCAGCUUGCAGGAGACUGUGGUGUCUGACAGGGUCAGAGCAGCUGGCCUGCUCCAAGCGUCCGGUACUGGGGACCAGCUUAGCAUCCAGAGAGAGCAUUGCUGUUCCGGCCUCACUGUCUCGUGGCUGAGCAAAUGAUAGCAUUGAUCCUGAGAGUAACGAGAUGACAAUAGAGAUGGGAGCCAAACUCAGCAGAGGCUUCUGUUGGAAGGUGUUGGCUCGUUGCUAAGGUUUUUUCCAGUUCUGAAAGACAUGGCUAGAGUCAGAGGGGAAGAGACCAACCAUGCCACUGAGUUUGGAAAAGGACAGCACCAUGUGGAAGUCAUUUUGGGUUGAGGGACACUGAUCUCUCUUUUAACGGAGAUUUGCAUGGAGAGUGAGGUCUUAAAUCCAGCUCUUUUCCCUGCCACGCUCUUGCCAGAUGCCCACCGCACCCCAGUACCCGUGGUUGGGCUGACCUGCUUUUGUGCAUUGAAGUCUGAGUUCUGGGCAGCUGAGGACUCCUGAGAACAAAAGCGGGCUCUCCCCUAUUUUGCAGCCCCUGAGGUGCUUGAUUUGUGGUGAUUUGUAACAGAAGCCCUAUGAAAUUAAAUUGGAAGCUAUCUAGGAGAGAGAAGCUCCUCCAACAUCUGUUGGUCUCCAAGGCUAGAAGGAUCUCAAGCAACCCAGACUAGUCUUGACACUGCUAUGUAACUGAUGAUGACUUUGAACUCCUGAUUCUCUUGCCUCUACCUGAGUUCUGAGAUUACAGGCAUGUGUCGUUGCAUCUGGCAUUGGUGAUGGCCUUCUUGCUGGCAAAGCUGUGAAGCAUCACAGGACACUGCAUGGCCACAAGUUAGAGGGCUGACUCUGUACUGCUGAACCUCCUUCACGGCAGGCUGUGCCGCUCUCCCAGCCGUGUGUGCAUGCCCCACAAAAAGGGACGGGGUCUAACACACUCCGUAGUGUGGAGACGAGUCCGACCUCACCGAGGCUGCAGACCCGGUGCUUUGCCACAGCUGAUGCUUAUGCUCACCAGUGUGGCGCCCCAGGUGGGAACGGUGCCAGCAGGAAGGUGGAGCUUCACGGAUGAAGGAAGCCGAAGAGCCGCCCUACCUCCAGGUCCAGACUUAGAUCAAUUUCUGGCCUCUUCAGGCUGCGCCCAGAAAGGUGCCACCCUGUUGCCAAAAGGGCCUUAUAGUUCCCUGAGGCAUUCCAGUUCUUCAGUUUUCAUUAAGAAGCCUCUCCGUCAAGAGCCAGUCAGCUGGCAGGGAAUAUCGUCAGGUAUUUGACCAGAGAGGGCACAAGAUGUAUUGACAAGAAGGAAGCUGUUAACCAGGAUGAAGAGAGGAGGCUAAGGUGACCCUGGCAGGAGUGGAAAUCCCACAGGAAGCAGACAGAAGGCACUCAGUCCUUCCUUCCUCUGCCUGCUGCAUUCUUGCCACGGAGAAGAAGUCCCACGGAGCCAGCUGGCAAAGCCAAAUUUUGGUUGGCAGAAUCUCAGCUCCAGCAUCUCACAGGCUAGGCUUGGAGCAGAGAGACGAGAUUAAGAAGGUUUCUCCAAACAUUCUGUUUACUGAGAUACCCACAACCAUUUUCCAAUCUCUCUGUGUGAUUCGUUGUCAUUGGGCAGGCCCUGAAAUGUAUCUGAUGGAUUUUUAGUAGAAUUUGGUAUUCUUAAUGGCAAGGUAGUAACAGUCACCUUCCCUGAAUGGACUUAUAGCAGAGAGAGAAUCUGGUAGUGUAAGAGGAAAAAUUAAUAAAAGUCUAAAAAACCUAGACCACUAAACCCAUACAGGGAAAUAGGGAAUUUCUGAUCUUGAACUACCUAAGACAGCACAAAAGAAGAGAAAUGGACAAAAGAAUCUGACCCCCUGACUGAGGAGGUGACUAGAAGCUUAAAGUCCAGCUGUGUCAACAUUCCUUUGUCCCAAAGAAGACCAGAUAUCACCAAUUAAUGGUUGUAAAAAACCCCAGUCCGGGGAUAAUUAACAAACUCAUAACCAAAUGUUCUCUGCACUUUCCUGUUCAAUUGUAUCUUGCUUACACAUAUAGUUACCAUUUUACCUUGUGUAAUCACGGAAACGCUGACAUCUUGAGGCUUUUAGCCUUAUGGUCAUUCCCUAUUAAAAAAACAAAAACCAAAAAACAAAAAAACCCUUAGCUGUAAACAGGCAUCUCACUUGCUCCCGAACAAGUGGGAUCCCUGCCGCAGUUUGAGUAAAGAAAUCUUUGCCUUUGAUUGGUGAGUCGUCUCCUUGGUGGUGGUCCUUUUGGGGUCCCUCAGACUGGGCAUAACAGUAGUAGAGAUAAUAAAAACCCAGACUCAGGGUCGUGGGUUUGGGCCCCACGUUGGGCUUUAAUAUGUAACAUGAGUUAUAAAAAUCCAGAGAUCGAUAUUGGGUUUCAAGCUGAUGGUUAGAUAAGCAAAGCAUCCAGUCCCUAGAUCUUACCUCUAUCUCAGACUGAUAGAGUAACCCGGCUAGCUCCACCAAUCCUUAGACUGCAAUCCUAGACUGCCUCUCUUCAAUGUAGCUGGAAAUUAAAUCUCCCCAUGAGACCCUUUGGUUCUUCCUUUUAUACCUCUCCAGUGCUAGAAUUAAAGAUGUGUGAUCCCAAGCGA